rnacentral:rRNA from 1 species
CCUACGGGCGGCAGCAGUAGGGAAUCUUUCACAAUGGGCGAAAGCCUGAUGGAGCAACGCCGCGUGCAGGAUGAAGGCCUUCGGGUUGUAAACUGCUUUUAUAAGCGAGAAAUAUGAUGGUAACUUAUGAAUAAGGAUCGGCUAACUACGUGCCAGCAGCCGCGGUCAUACGUAGGAUCCGAGCAUUAUCCGGAGUGACUGGGUGUAAAGAGUUGCGUAGGUGGCAUAAUAAGUAGCUAGUGAAAUCUGGUGGCUCAACCAUUCAGACUAUUAGCUAAACUGUUAAGCUCGAGACCGUUAGGGGUAACUGGAAUUUCUAGUGUAGGAGUGAAAUCCGUAGAUAUUAGAAGGAACACCAAUAGCGUAGGCAGGUUGCUGGGACGGUUCUGACACUAAGGCACGAAAGCGUAGGGAGCAAAUGGGAUUAGAUACCCGAGUAGUC